GAUGGCAGUGACGAUUUGCAAAUAUUCAAGCUCAACAGACCUAAUCAAAGAUUUUCUCUCCGGAGUUGAUUUGUAUGCCGAUUACCCCGCUGAACCGAGCCAUC
rfam:Triticum aestivum genome assembly, contig: Triticum_aestivum_CS42_TGACv1_scaffold_342769_4DL